rnacentral:rRNA from 1 species
AUCGGAAUGAGUACACUUUAAAUCCUUUAACAAGGACCAAUUGGAGGGCAAGUCUGGUGCCAGCAGCCGCGGUAAUUCCAGCUCCAAUAGCGUAUAUUAAAGUUGUUGCGGUUAAAAAGCUCGUAGUUGAAUCUGUGUGUCACAGUGUCGGUUCACCGCUCGCGGUGUCUAACUGGCAUUAUGUGGUACGUCCUACCGGUGGGCUUAGCUCCUUGCGGGCGGUCCAACUAAUCUCCCAUCGCGGUGCUCUUCACUGAGUGUCGAGGUGGGCCGGUACGUUUACUUUGAACAAAUUAGAGUGCUCAAAGCAGGCUACCUUCGCCUGAAUACUGCGUGCAUGGAAUAAUGGAAUAGGACCUCGGUUCUAUUUUGUUGGUUUUCGGAACCCCGAGGUAAUGAUUAAUAGGGACAGAUGGGGGCAUUCGUAUUGCGACGUUAGAGGUGAAAUUCUUGGAUCGUCGCAAGACGGACUAAAGCGAAAGCAUUUGCCAAAAAUGUUUUCAUUAAUCAAGAACGAAAGUUAGAGGUUCGAAGGCGAUCAGAUACCGCCCUAGUUCUAACCAUAAACGAUGCCAGCUAGCGAUCCGCCGA